rnacentral:rRNA from 1 species
UACAGAGGUCUCAAGCGUUGUUCGGAUUCAUUGGGCGUAAAGAGUGCGUAGGCGGCGCGGUAAGUCGGGUGUGAAAUCUCGGAGCUUAACUCCGAAACUGCAUUCGAUACUGCCGUGCUUGAGGACUGGAGAGGAGACUGGAAUUUACGGUGUAGCGGUGAAAUUCGUAGAUAUUCGCAAGAACACCAGUGGCGAAGGCGGCUCACUGGCCCGGUACUGACGCUGAGGUGCGAAAGCGUGGGGAGCAAACAGG